GACAGUGGGUGCAAACGUUGUUCGGAAUUACUGGGCGUAAAGCGCGUGUAGGCUGCUUCGCAAGUCGGGUGUGAAAGCCCUGGGCUCAACCUAGGAAGUGCAUUCGAAACUGCGAAGCUCGAGUCCUGGAGAGGAAGGCGGAAUUCUCGGUGUAGAGGUGAAAUUCGUAAAUAUCGAGAGGAACACCGGUGGCGAAGGUGGCCUUCUGGACAGUGACUGACGCUGAGACGCGAAAGCGAGGGGAGCAAACAGG
rnacentral:rRNA from 1 species